AUGGUUUUACUGGUUUUGAUGUUGUAAUGCGUGGUGGAUUGUCUUCUGAUUCUCGCGCUACUACUUGGGAUCAGGCAUCUUUGCUUACUACAUCAAUUAAACACGCUACUAAAUUUUUAUCAUCCGAUGGAACUUUUGUCACCAAGAUGUUCGACGGAGCAGAAGACUACAAUCCCAUGCUCUACUGUCUUGAGCAGAAAAGCACUUACAAAUGGACUAUAAUGCGGCUGAAUUAACUGCGCUAAAGUGGCAAGUGAUAGUGGCCAAAGGGAACACUUAUUAACCAAAGACUGUAUUCGUUUGGUAAUAACUAAGGUCGAUUAUUCUCAGUUCGGCCAAAUGGUUGGUCCGAGGAAGUUCCUUAGCGUUGGUAAAUGGGAUGCCAGGUUAACAGUCUUUCUCCCAUCUCGAUAGUCAUAAUUUAA